UGAUCAAGGGGCCGGGACGUUCUGCCUGUUUCAGGGGCGGAGUGACCUACGGGUACAGGGAGUACCUGCGCAAGGGCCGGAUCAGGCAGAAG
ncrna:Pseudomonas sp. GM41(2012) ivy-DE RNA